UACGUAGGUGGCAAGCGUUGUCCGGAAUUAUUGGGCGUAAAGCGCGCGCAGGCGGUUUCUUAAGUCUGAUGUGAAAGCCCACGGCUCAACCGUGGAGGGUCAUUGGAAACUGGGGAACUUGAGUACAGAAGAGGAGAGCGGAAUUCCACGUGUAGCGGUGAAAUGCGUAGAUAUGUGGAGGAACACCAGUGGCGAAGGCGGCUCUCUGGUCUGUAACUGACGCUGAGGCGCGAAAGCGUGGGGAGCGAACAGG
rnacentral:rRNA from 1 species